GCUGGAGUGGCUCAGUUGGUUAAGUGUCUGACUUCAGCUCAGGUCAUGGUCUCAUGGUUCACGGGUUCAAGCCCCGUGUCAGGCU
rfam:Felis catus isolate Cinnamon breed Abyssinian chromosome B3, whole genome shotgun sequence.